UACAGCCAUAUCACUUUGAAACAUCAGUUCUCAUACGUCCACUGAAGUUAAGCCACAUCGAGCUUGGUUAGUACCUAGAUGGGUGACCGCUUGGGAAUACCAGGU